rnacentral:rRNA from 1 species
AAAGGAAUAGACGGGGGAGCGCACAACCGGUGGAGCAUGUGGUUUAAUUCGAUACAAAGCGAUAGACCUCACCCAGGUUUAAUAUAACUGCAAAUCUUGGGAAACCAAGAUGUCUUCGAGAGUGUUAUACAGCUGUUGCAUGGCUGUCGUCAGUUCGUGUCGUGAGACGUUUCUUUAAGUAGAAUAACGAACGCAACCCCUAUCGUGUGUUGAAUUUUCACGCGAGACUGCUCUUGAUAGUAUCAAGGGAGGAAGGAGGGGACGAUGUCAAGUCAGCAUGACGCUUACACCUGGGGCCACACACAUCCUACAAUGGGAAGUACAAAGGGUCGCCAACCAGCAAUGGGGAGCCAAUCCCGUAAAACUUCCCUCAGUUCAGAUUGAGGGCUGCAACUCGCCCUCAUGAAGUCGGAAUCGGUAGUAAUCGCAGAUCAGCAGACUGCGGUGAAUACGUUCUCGCUCCUUGUACACACCGCCCGU